AUGAAGGCUGACAUGGACUCUCACCAGGCUGACACGGGGUUAACAUGGGGUGGUCAUUUCAUUUUGUUUUAAGCAUUAUUAAGCAUCUCAAGCACUGAAGCACGAUUUUACUGUUGACACUGCUUUUCUGUUUUAAGCUUAUGUCUCUAUCAAGCACUAAAAGCUCAAUUACUCUACUGUUCCUCAACAUGUAACCCACGUACAUUACUAUAAGCCUAUGUGUACCCAACUAUGUUAUUAUAAUGUCUUACCAUGCGUGUUCAUUAU